UAGUCUUGUGUUUCUGAUGAAGACUUUAAAUCAGUCAGCAGUACUUGAUCUUUCAAGACAUGAGUAAAUUACUUGCAAAUAGUUCUAAAAGGAAAAUUUGACCUCCAGUACAGGCAGUCUUCUCUUAAAAUUUCCCAUUUAUUUAAUUUUUUCCUUUGAAUAUUACAUAUGUGAGUGUACAAAUAUCUGUAUACAUGUCCAGUUGACCAUCUUAUACUGAACAGAAAUGGCUAGAAAUGUCUUUUUCUUACUUGCUUUGCUUCCUUACUUUUUUUUUCUUGG
rnacentral:lncRNA from 1 species